UACAGAGGGGGCAAGCGUUAUUCGGAAUUAUUGGGCGUAAAGGGCGCGUAGGCGGCCUGACAAGUGGAAGGUGAAAUCCCUCGGCUUAACCAGGAACUGCCCUCCAAACUGUUUGGCUUGAGACCGGGAGAGGUGAGUGGAAUUCCCAGUGUAGCGGUGAAAUGCGUAGAUAUUGGGAGGAACACCAGUGGCGAAGGCGGCUCACUGGACCGGCACUGACGCUGAGGCGCGAAAGCGUGGGGAGCAAACGGG
rnacentral:rRNA from 1 species